UAUAGGUUUGGUUUUAUAGGUCUCACAANCUCGCCGGCGUUAUACAUGCCUAAUACAUGCAGUCGAGCGAAUGAUUGAGAGCUUGCUCUCAAGAAGUUAGCGGCGGACGGGUGAGUAACACGUGGGUAACCUGCCCAUAAGACUGGGAUAACUCCGGGAAACCGGGGCUAAUACCGGAUAACAUUUUGAACUGCAUGGUUCGAAAUUGAAAGGCGGCUUCGGCUGUCACUUAUGGAUGGACCCGCGUCGCAUUAGCUAGUUGGUGAGGUAACGGCUCACCAAGGCAACGAUGCGUAGCCGACCUGAGAGGGUGAUCGGCCACACUGGGACUGAGACACGGCCCAGACUCCUACGGGAGGCAGCAGUAGGAAAUCUUCCGCAAUGGACGAAAGUCUGACGGAGCAACGCCGCGUGAGUGAUGAAGGCUUUCGGGUCGUAAAACUCUGUUGUUAGGGAAGAACAAGUGCUAGUUGAAUAAGCUGGCACCUUGACGGUACCUAACCAGAAAGCCACGGCUAACUACGUGCCAGCAGCCGCGGUAAUACGUAGGUGGCAAAGCGUUNAUCCGGGAAUUAUUGGGCGUAAAAGCGGCGCGCCAGNGUGGUUUUCUAUAAGUCUGAUGUGAAAAGGCCCACGGGGUCCAACCCGUGGGAAGGGUCAUUUGGGAAACCUUGGAAGACUUUAGUUGCANAAGGAAGCACAGAUUGGGAAUUUCCCUGGUGUUAGCGGUGAAAAUGCGU
rnacentral:rRNA from 1 species